AUUGAACGCUGGCGGCAUGCCUUACACAUGCAAGUCGAACGGUAACAGGUCUUCGGAUGCUGACGAGUGGCGAACGGGUGAGUAAUACAUCGGAACGUGCCUAGUAGUGGGGGAUAACUACCCGAAAGAGUGGCUAAUACCGCAUGAGAUCUACGGAUGAAAGCAGGGGAUCGCAAGACCUUGUGCUUCUAGAGCGGCCGAUGGCAGAUUAGGUAGUUGGUGGGAUAAAAGCUUACCAAGCCGACGAUCUGUAGCUGGUCUGAGAGGACGAUCAGCCACACUGGGACUGAGACACGGCCCAGACUCCUACGGGAGGCAGCAGUGGGGAAUUUGGACAAUGGGCGAAAGCCUGAUCCAGCAAUGCCGCGUGCAGGAUGAAGGCCUUCGGGUUGUAAACUGCUUUUGUACGGAACGAAAAGCCCCGGGUUAAUACCCUGGGGUCAUGACGGUACCGUAAGAAUAAGCACCGGCUAACUACGUGCCAGCCGCCGCGGUAA
rnacentral:rRNA from 1 species